rnacentral:rRNA from 1 species
AAGACCUUGCACUUUUGGAGCGGCCGAUGUCUGAUUAGCUAGUUGGUGGGGUAAAGGCCUACCAAAGCUUCGAUCAGCAGCUGGUCUGAGAGGACGGCCAGCCACACUGGGACUGAGACACGGCCCAGACUCCUACGGGAGGCAGCAGUGGGGAAUUUUGGACAAUGGGCGCAAGCCUGAUCCAGCCAUGCCGCGUGAGUGAAGAAGGCCCUCGGGUUGUAAAGCUCUUUCAGCCGGGAAGAAAAGGCUGCGACUAAUAAUCGCAGUUCAUGACGGUACCGGAAGAAGAAGCACCGGCUAACUACGUGCCAGCAGCCGCGGUAAUACGUAGGGUGCGAGCGUUAAUCGGAAUUACUGGGCGUAAAGGGUGCGCAGGCGGUUUUGUAAGUCAGAUGUGAAAUCCCCGGGCUUAACCUGGGAACU